rnacentral:lncRNA from 1 species
UUCAAGCUUAGGAUAGUCUAUAGAUAGCUGAUUUCGUCGAGGAUCUACUUUUGGAUUUACAUCCUUAGAAAUCAAAGGUCUACCUUCUUGUACAUAUUUGUUUAUUUUGGGGGCCCACAUGUCAUUGUAGAAUAUUUUGUAUACCUGGCUGCGUGUGCCACUGUAUGUAUGAAUUUAUUUUGCUUUUACGCUACAAAAAU